CCUUUCUGCACAGGGUUGUCAUUCUGAUUGAUGUUCCCAUUCUCUACUGCUGUAUAAUGAUCCACCCAAAAUUUACAGCUUAAAAAAAAAUCAUUUUGCUCAGGAAUCUGCAAUUUGGGCAGAGUUCAGUAGUAAAAGCUCAUCUCUGCUCCAUAUUGUUUCAUCUGGGAUUUUUGGUGGGGAGGAGGAGAGGAGAGGUGCUGAGGCUAGAAAUUCUACUUCCAAGAUGGCUCACUUACAUAACUGGCAAGCUGGGAGCUCAUUUGAGGCUGAGAACCAAGGGAGCCUCGGAGUUCAGAUUCAAGACGGAACACCUGUUGGAAGUAGUUUCAAAGAAUUUGGGCUGCACUUCCAGUGGAAGUCCUGGCAGAUGACGUCAUUUCCUCAAGGUUCAGCUCAGAUAAAACCAGAAUGAAACUUAGUCUAGUGGGGUUUCAUCAAAUAAAUACCCACUUACAUCCCAAAGCCUGAGAAUCCUCUCUUCAAAAGCUAUUCGUUGAGCACCUGUUCUAAAGCAAGGACUGUGCCAGGGGCCGUGACAUGAGAUUGGU